rnacentral:lncRNA from 1 species
CUUGCUCUUGGAUCCCAGCUGCCAAGUCAGGAGGAAGCCAUGGCCACCCAGGAAGGCCCCAGGAUUUGCCACCUUGGGGGACCUCCUUUGUCUCUGUCCCUUCAUGCCAUGAACUCCCAGGCACAGGUUCUGCCCCAGAAAUGGAGGCUAAAGCUCCUUGCCUGAGACUGAGCCAAUUGGUCCCACCUGGGGUUCAGCUGAGGAAGCCUCUCCCCAGCAGCUACCUCACUGCAGGAUGAUGCUCUAAUGUCCACCUAUGUGAGACCUCCUUUCCCGGAGAAAAGAACAAGGAAAUCUACAUCAAAGAUACACUCAACCACAGAUCCUAUUAACUGGCAACCUGAAGGUUUAUGCACCUUGAGGACUGCUGAACACCUUGACACAGCUAGCUCGUGCAUCUAAGAGAUUGACUGAGGCAGCAGCUUUGAAAUACUUCUUCAACUACUGCAAAGACUGCAAGAUAUCCAUUAAAGCACAAUUUACUUCAUCAGCAAGCCUUCUGCAAGCUGUUCCCAAAAAGGGUGAAAUGAGCUGUGGCCUGGAAAGGUUACCUGGACACGUGGGAAAUUUCACAAUCUUUUCAACGUUGGCUUUUUUCCAUGUAAAAAGAAGCUAUCAUCUUCUGGGAAGAAAAAAGGCUGAGAAAUUCCGUGAUCUGCCAUCUGCAAGCUGGAUAAUAAGAUAAGCUGGUGGUGUAAUUUAGUCUACACUGGAAUGCCUGAGAAUCAGGAGUUAACAGUUUAAGUCUUCUUCAGAGUCCACAGGCUGGAGAACCAGAAGCUUUGGUACCCCAAGACAGGAGCAGGUGGGUGUCCUAGCUCAAGAAAAGACAGCAAAUUCACCCU